AGACGAACGCUGGCGGCGUGCUUAACACAUGCAAGUCGAACGGUGAAGCCCUUCCGGGGUGGGAUCAGUGGCGAACGGGUGAGUAACACGUGAGCAAUCUGCCCUUGACUCUGGGAUAACUUCGGGAAACCGGAGCUAAUACCGGAUACGACACACGAUCGCAUGGUCUGUGUGUGGAAAGAUUUAUUGGUCAGGGAUGAGCUCGCGGCCUAUCAGCUUGUUGGUGGGUAAUGGCCUACCAAGGCGACGACGGGUA
rnacentral:rRNA from 1 species